CAAAUCCGGAAAAUCAAGGCUGAGGCGUGAUGACGAGGCACUGCGGUGCUGAAGCAACAAAUGCCCUGCUUCCAGGAAAAGCCUCUAAGCAUCAGGUAACAUCAAAUCGUACCCCAAACCGACACAGGUGGUCAGGUAGAGAAUACCAAGGCGCUUGAGAGAACUCGGGUGAAGGAACUAGGCAAAAUGGUGCCGUAACUUCGGGAGAAGGCACGCUGAUAUGUAGGUGAAGUCCCUCGCGGAUGGAGCUGAAAUCAGUCGAAGAUACCAGCUGGCUGCAACUGUUUAUUAAAAACACAGCACUGUGCAAACACGAAAGUGGACGUAUACGGUGUGACGCCUGCCCGGUGCCGGAAGGUUAAUUGAUGGGGUCAGCGCAAGCGAAGCUCUUGAUCGAAGCCCCGGUAAACGGCGGCCGUAACUAUAACGGUCCUAAGGUAGCGAAAUUCCUUGUCGGGUAAGUUCCGACCUGCACGAAUGGCGUAAUGAUGGCCAGGCUGUCUCCACCCGAGACUCAGUGAAAUUGAACUCGCUGUGAAGAUGCAGUGUACCCGCGGCAAGACGGAAAGACCCCGUGAACCUUUACUAUAGCUUGACACUGAACAUUGAGCCUUGAUGUGUAGGAUAGGUGGGAGGCUUUGAAGUGUGGACGCCAGUCUGCAUGGAGCCGACCUUGAAAUACCACCCUUUAAUGUUUGAUGUUCUAACGUUGACCCGUAAUCCGGGUUGCGGACAGUGUCUGGUGGGUAGUUUGACUGGGGCGGUCUCCUCCUAAAGAGUAACGGAGGAGCACGAAGGUUGGCUAAUCCUGGUCGGACAUCAGGAGGUUAGUGCAAUGGCAUAAGCCAGCUUGACUGCGAGCGUGACGGCGCGAGCAGGUGCGAAAGCAGGUCAUAGUGAUCCGGUGGUUCUGAAUGGAAGGGCCAUCGCUCAACGGAUAAAAGGUACUCCGGGGAUAACAGGCUGAUACCGCCCAAGAGUUCAUAUCGACGGCGGUGUUUGGCACCUCGAUGUCGGCUCAUCACAUCCUGGGGCUGAAGUAGGUCCCAAGGGUAUGGCUGUUCGCCAUUUAAAGUGGUACGCGAGCUGGGUUUAGAACGUCGUGAGACAGUUCGGUCCCUAUCUGCCGUGGGCGCUGGAGAACUGAGGGGGGCUGCUCCUAGUACGAGAGGACCGGAGUGGACGCAUCACUGGUGUUCGGGUUGUCAUGCCAAUGGCACUGCCCGGUAGCUAAAUGCGGAAGAGAUAAGUGCUGAAAGCAUCUAAGCACGAAACUUGCCCCGAGAUGAGUUCUCCCUGACUCCUUGAG
rnacentral:rRNA from 1 species